AAGAUAUUGAACAGAGUCGGACCCAGGACUGAUCCCUGCGGGACCACACUCGGUACUGAAUUUAAGCUGACUGGUCUACAAUUCCCUGGAAUGUCCUUGUUCUGAUUUUUGCAGAUAGGUACUAUUUUUGCCCUUUUCCAGUCCUCUGGGAUCUCUCUUGUCCUCCCUGAGUUCAUGGAGUUCAGGGUGUGGAUUUAUUCAGCCAGUUCUUUAAGUAUUCUAGGUUGGAUGUAUUUCCUCGGGCCCUGCCCACUUGAAGACAUGAACUUAUCUAAGCUUAACUUCUUCUUUCCCUGUUUUAGCCUUAGAUUCUACCCCAUUUAUACUGAUGUUCAUUAUGUUAAUCAUCUGUUCACGGCUAACCCAACUCCCCUGAACACUUUUUCCGUUACACUUGCUUCCCUUGAGAUGUGCCUUCUUGAAGUCCAUUGUCUUUAUUCUGCUGUGUUUUCCUUCCUACCAUUCCUUAGAAUUGUGAACUCUACCAUUUCAUGAUCGCUUUCUCCCAAACUGCCUUCCACCUUCAAAUUCUCAACCAGUUCCUCCCUGUUUGUCAGAAUUAGAUCUAGAACAGCCUCCCCUCUAGGCACUCUCUCCACCUUCUGUAAUAAAAAGUUACCUCCAAUGCAUUCCAAGAACUUGUUGGAUAAUCUGUGCCUUGCUGUAUUAUUUUCCCAACAAAUGCCUGUGCAAUUGAAGUCCCCCAUCACCAUCAAAUCCUGUGCUUUGGAUGAUUUUGUUAGUUGUUUAAAAAAAGGCUCAUACAGUACUUCUUCUGGUUAGGUGGUCUAUUGUUUUUUACCCUUUUAUCCUUACCGAGAGUCUUUGAACAGGUCUGCCUCCACUUCUAUCUUGAGCUCCAUGCCAGUGUAUUCAAUUUUUAUAUACAAGGCAACACCACCUCUCUUUUUUCCCUGCCUGUUGUUCCUGAACAAGCUGUACUCUUCUGUACCAAUAUUCCAGUCAUGUAAAUUAUCCUAAUCUCUGAAUCAAAUUAAGACAUAAUUGUGAUUAUUCACUAGUAUUUCCAAAUCUUCCUGUUUAUUCCCCAGACUUCUUGCAUUCGUGUACAGUCAUCUAAGAUGUUUGUUAGAUUUCCCCUCUGUAUGCCCUCUCAUCUCUCCUCUGUCCCUGCUAUGCUUGCCAACCCAUCACUCCAAUCUCCAUGUUGUGGACUUUUACCUGUGGUCUUUUGUCUCCUUCCCAUGUUGAAACUAGUUUAAAGCCCACCUCACUAAAUUAUCCAGUCUGUAUCUGAAAGUACUGUUCCCCUUCCUGGAUAGGAGGACCCUAUCUCUGCUCAGCAGUCCUCCUUGGAACAGCGUGCUUGAAAAAGCCCAGGGAACCAAUUUUACAAUUAGGCUACAACGAUGGGGCAAAUUGGACAGCAUAUGACCUUAAAUGUAUAAGGGCUUGAGAAUCUAUCAAGCUGUCCUGCAGUGGCUCAAGGGUGGGUACCAGCCUCAGGGCCGACUGUUAGGAAACGGAGCACAAACCUCCAAUUGGUUGAGUUCUAUACUUGGAUCGCACCAACCAAUUAUCAAGUGUGAACUCCUCAAGCACUAUAACAGCCCUAAUAUGGAGUCUCAGACAGUCCCCUUAGAUAUUCCGGUCUGUCCCACCACCCAGGUGCACUGCCUUUGUGAUAAGUGAUCCCUUACACCAAAGAUCACUGCAAUAUUCAGCUUACUCCCAGUCCCUAAGGACCAGUCACUCACCCCAGCUUAAUUGCACUUCAGAUCCCACACAAAAGACCACACUGGUAGCCAGUCCUAUAAUAAACUAUCCACAGCUUCCCUGAGUUAGAGGUUUUAUCUCUUCCCCCUUUUGCUUCAAAUAGGAAACUCCGCUGUUGGGAGGAGUUCGCUUGCAUGUCUCUUCUUCGUGGGGGUUGAGGGAUGAGCAAUCAGCAAAGUCUUGUGUCCUCUUUGAUGUUCCACAAUAGUUUGGCUGGUGUUGAUAGGCCUUCCUUUUGGGGAAAGACAUACCUUCUGUGAAAGAUCAGCACUUUACACUAAUCUCUCUCUAUCUGGUGCUUUAUACAGUCACAGAGGCUUAUGCUAUAAAUGCUUAAAUAUUACUGUACACGAUGGGAUAUAGCUGGUAUAAGUGAGAUAAAUGCAGGCAGCAACUACACACCUUCAAUAAAGUCUAAAUGCUAGCACAUUUUUAUAACGUGAAUACCUCUUUUACCCCUAGGAAUACACAGGUGAACCAGACUGAUUCCAGCUCUGUGUUUGUCAGUCUUCAAGUGAGGCAUGGGGACCUUGGUAUAAGCAGGCACUUGGUUUGCUGGCAGCGCACAAUAUUGGCAUAAACAAUGUGAGUUGAGGCUCUGCCUAGUUCCCUCAGUCCCUGUGGCCAAUCAUGUAGCUUUAUCAUGGUUUCAUCCGUAUCGGGAAGAGGGCUUCAGAACUGAAUGACAUGCUGGGGUUUAGUUUGAUGCGGAUAGGUGGCCUGACGGCUCCUGGACUGUUAAGCUUUCAUGUCUGGAUGCCACAUCUCCAGAAAGAUAUUAGGGGAGAAAUAAAGCGUGCCCAGAAUCUAGGGGGCCGGAGGGUCUGUGGAAGAAAGAUUGAGUUUGAUAGGUAGAUUAUCCCAUGUAUCCUGUGCAAACUAGGCCUAAAUUCUGCUGCCCUGAGUGGAAUGUCCUGCUAUAGCACAUGUGAAGCAGGAUCCAGGGGUGAUCCUGGCAAUUACAGGCCCUUAAGUCUAACUUCAGUACCAGCCAAAUUGGUUGAAACUAUAGUAAAUAACAGAAUUAUCAAACAUAGCUGAACACGAUUUGUUGGGGAAAAGUCAACGUGGCUUUUGUAAAAGGAAAUCAUGCCUUGCUGAUAUAUUAGAAUUCUUUGAGGGGGGUUAACAAACAUGUGGGCAAGGGUGAUCCAGUCUAUAUAGUGUACUUGGACUUUUUCAGAAAGCUUUUAACAAGGAUCUUAAGCAAAGUAAGCAGUCGUGAGAUAAGUGGGAAGGUCCUCUCCUGGAUCAGUAACCAGUUAAAAGACAGGAAACAAAGGGUAGGAAUAUAUGGUCAAUUUUCGCAGUGGAGAGAGAGAAAUAGUGGUGUCCCCCAAGGAUUUGUAUGGGGACCAGUGUUCAACAUAUUCAUAAAUGAUCUGGAAAAAAGGGGCAAACAGUGAAGUGGUAAAAUUUGCAGAUGAUACAAAGUUACUCGAGGUAGUUAAGUCCAAUGCAGACUGCAAAGAGUUACAAAGGGAUCUCACAAACCAGGGUGACUGGGCAACAAAAUGGUGGAUGAAAUUCAAUGUUGAUCAGUUCAAAGUAAUGCACAUUGGAAAACAUAAUCGCAACUAUACAUAUAAAAUGAUGAGAUCUGAAUUAGCUGUUACUACUCAAGAAAGAGAUCUCGGAGUUGUCAUGGAUAGUUCUCUGCUCAAUGUGCAGCAGCAGUCAAAAAAGCAAACACAAUGUUAGGAACCAUUAGGAAAGGGAUAAACAAUAAGACAGAAAAUAUAAUGCGACUAUAGAAAUCCAUGGUACGCUCACACCUUGAAUACUGUGUGCAAUUCUGGCCUCCCCCUCAAAAAAGAUAAAUACGAUUUUGAAAAAAUACAGAGAAGGGCAACAAAAAUGAUUAAGGAUAUGGGACAGCUUCCAUAUGAGGGGUGAUUAGAAAGACUGGGACUUUUCAGCUUGGAAAAGAGAUGACGAAGGGGGGAUAUGACAGAGAUUUAUAAAAUCAUGGCUGGUGUGGAGGAAGUGAAUAGGGGAGUGUUGUUUACCCCUUCACAUAACACAAGAACUAGGAGUCACCCAAUGAAAUUAAUAGGCAGGUUUAAAACAAAAGGAAGUAUUUCUUCACCCAGCGCCCAGUCAGUCUGUGGAACUCGUUGUCGGGAUGUUGUGAAGGCCAAAAGUAUAGGUUCAAAAAAGAAUUAGUUCAUGUAUGAUAGGUCCAUCAGUGGCUAUUACCCAAGAUAGUCAGGGACACAACCCUUGAGUGUCCCUAGUCGCUGGCUGCCAGAAUCUGGGAAUGGGCAAUGGGAUGGAUCAUGCAAUGGUUGCCUGUUCUGUUCCUUCCUUCUGAAGUACCUGGCAUUAGCCACUGUCGGAGGCAGGAUACUGGGCUAGAUGGACCUUUGCUCUGACCCAUUCUAGCCAUUGUUAUGUAGCAAGGUAUAUUUUAAAUAGGCUUCAUAUAUUAAUGAUCAGACACAGUUUACACUUGCUAUUUAGUUCCUCCUGCUGGUGAGGUUGUCAAAUCCGUCUAGCCAAAUUUUCUCGUCCUAGCACUGAUAACGGAGUUUGAGAAAUAAGGUGUUAAACUACAUCUAAAAUAAUCCGCAUAGAUACAAUAACUGCUUUAGACAGCUAACUUUCUGAUCAAUCUUGUAGAUUGCUACUUCAUUUAUUUAUAGGUCCUUGUGGUGCUGACUCUGCAUCUCUCCAUGCAUAAGCUACUGGGCUAACUUGACAGCAUAUUGGAAUUUAGUUCUGCCAGAAUUUCUCAAACCAAACCUUUUCUUGGUGUGGUCAGUGUACGAUUCCACAGUGGGGUUCAGUGAGCUGAAAGCACUUGACCAGUCUAACUUCUGCUCCCCAAAUUUAGGAUUGUUUUGCCUCAUGAUCCGAACAGGGUUGUUUACCACCUGACCCUAUUGCAGUUUUACUAACACUUCUUCAUGUCUUUCUGAUUUCUGUACACACGUACGCCACUGAGCUCUGCAGGCUUUUGCACUUAACACUGUGGUUAGAUAGUUGGCUGCGUGUGUGUGUUCUUCCUGUGCGCUCUCCCAGCUCUGCGCAGACAGCCGGCACAGCAGACCUCAAGCGAACCACCCAGUGACCACACGAUCCAUUAAGAUGCGAAGGCACGCAGCCAGGUUUAUUGUUGACAAAGCACGGUAGUAGCACCUGGCAGACUCCACGAGGAUACUAAGACAUAUGUCUGUGACAAUGGACACUGUCAGUGGUGGGACUUUCCACUGCCCCCUUGGGUGGCCAAAGACACUCCCUCUGAAAUACAUCUUUAUACCCUGAUAUAAACAAGUUACGUUCUGUCAUCCUGACCUUAUCUUGUAUGAAGGAUCACUGUGUUUCUGUUACCUUGGGGAAUGGUUUUGUACCACCCUUGAUAUCGGGAUGUGUUUGCAUGAGUACUCUGUGCUUAGCACUUUUUAAGAAUGUGUAUUUCUGCAAUAUCAGGCCUGUUCUUGCCAGAUUCUGUGGGCAGGUCCUGCCUCAUACCAGGCCUCUGAUACAAGAGCUUAUGUCUCAGGUUCUCUUCCUACUACAAACACUAGGUAGGUGUCGCAGCACCACCACAUCUGUGGACCCUUAGGAAGAACCAGGAAGUUAUAGAGAGGAAUUACAGGGUUGAGAAACCCGGCUGAGAAUAGGUUUGAACUGAGUUUGUCAGUGAUGAUGCCUCACAACCCCCCGUGCAUACGCAUUCACACACCCGAAAAGUUCUGUAUCCUUCCUAUUCUACAGAUGGCUAAUAUGAGGAAGAGAGGUUAACAGCCUGUUUUCAAAGGUGCUGAUCACUCACAGCUACUAAUUGACUUCAACUGGAGUUGUGGGUGGUUAGCACCUUUGAAAAACAGGCCUCUCCAGGAUCACAUAAUGAACAGAUUAGCAAUUUCCAGACCUGCUCAGAGCCAUGGUCUGUCUGGAGGGAUAGCUCAGUGGUUGGAGCAUUGGCCUGCUAAACCCAGGGUUGUGAGUUCAAUCCUUGAGGGGGCCAUUUAGGGAUCUGGGGCAAAAAAAAAAAAAAAAAAAAUUGGGGAUUGGUCCUGCUUUGAGCAGGGGGUUGGACUAGAUGACCUCCUGAGGUCCCUUCCAACCCUGAUAUUCUAUGAUUCUAACUGUCGCCUGUCACCAGCACUAGCCAGUGGCAGCUCCUUCAGAGAAAGGAGAAAGAAAACCUGCAGCAGGUGGUUCUGAAAUAACUAGCCCGUAGAAGUUUCCUCCUGACCCCCAUUAGCUAAUAAUGGCUUAUACCCUAAUGCUUGACAUUUCGUAUCCCUUCCACAACUCCAAGGGCUUGUGUAAAAAGGAAGGUAGUUUCUGUUAGUUUGUUUAUUAAACAGAUAUAAUUAAACUGGUACAAAAGAUGGUUUCAGUGGCUUACCCCAGUUCUUAAUGGAAUGAAGUAAGCCACUCUUAAAUCAAAAUAAGUGUCCCCGCAGCUUUUCACGCCUAAAGUUAAAACACUGCAACUUUCUCAUGUGGCCAACCCCUAUUUAUUCCCCAUUUCUUACUCUAAACACUAGACCAAUGGUUCUCAACCUGUGGUCCCGGGAUCCCUGGGGGUCUGCAGACUAUGUCUAAGGGGUCUGCGAAAGGUUGUCAUUCCCAUAGACCAGUGGUUUUCAGCCUGUGGACCUCUGGGGAUCCGCAGACUGUCUAAGAUUUCCAAAGAAAUCCCCACCUCCAUUUGAAAUUUUUUAGGUUGAGAAUCACUGCAUUAGACCUCAACAGGCCACUGAAUAUUAGCUGCAGAGACAGUACCAGGUGUGCACCUUACAGGGCCUGGGGGUGCCAUUUAUCCAGUGUUCAGAGUCAUUGAAAUACACUUAGUGACUGGCUUAGUUUAAGCGUGAGAGUCCUGUUGGGAGAAGUAGUUGAGCUUCCUGUAUGAAACUGGCCAAGAUCUCUUGUGAUGCAUCUUUGGUUCUCCUUUUGUGUGCUCUCAGCCUGACAGGCCUCAGCCCAGUGCACGCACCCACACCAACUAUAUCUAUGUUAUUUCUGAAGUAACCAAGUUCUGUGCCUCCCCAAUCCCAGGAACAAUAAAUAUCCAAAGCCAAAAAGAAAUUUCUUCAGGCAGCGGCUCCCAGCUUUGAAUUAUUAGUGCUGUCUGCUAAAAAAAUUAAUAGUUUCUUUCCUGGGGAAUAAUUCCUUAUGUUCCAGGUCUUUCUUUCUGAGCAGCGGAGGAGUUGGAGUUUAUGGGGUCCAGCAGUCAAGAAUAAAAAGAAAUAAAAAAUAUGGUCUUAGGUCAAAGCCUGGUUUAGUUUGUGGUCAAAAGAAUGUAUCUGGUGGAGGUUUAUUAUUAGAGUCAAAGAUUGCAGAGCGAGGCAAUGGUUUUGGGGAAUGGCCUUUGUAUAAAUUUAGAGGUGAAUUGAUAUGGAAAUGUAAUACAACUUUAUUUUGCAUAGGGUCUCAAAAUGCUUUACAGAGAGAAAUGACACACUGCAGAAAAAAAGAGACCGAAGCAAGAAAGGUAGCAAGGCUCUCGCAGGUGGCACAAGCUGCAGAGAAGAAGAUUCCCGCUCAGAUGCUGGUAAAUCUGCAGUGGUGCUAGAUGAGUGGGGAGGGGAGUUGAGUGAGACAGUCCAUGAGGCAGGGUUUAAAAAAACCAAGGGGCAGUUCUGAUUGGCUCAGCACCACAGGUGUGAUCAAACGGUGCAACUCAGUGACUCAGGAUGUCACUGAGACCCAAAACUUAGCAAGAUUUUAAAAGGGAUUGGAUAUUUAUACAGGUAAUAAGACUAUCCAGAGUUAAUGUUAAACUUUGGAAGGGGAUAUUAAAUCCCAUGCUGCAGGGCUCAAGCCAAAUUCUUAACCAUCCAAUCCCUAGUAGUUUCCUGCACUUUUGUAGCAUCUGGUACUGGCCACUGACAGAGACAGGCUACUGGGCUAACUAGUCCCCUGGUCUGAUCCUGUCGAGCUGUUCCUAUGUUCCUCAAGGCUCUAUGAUACAGAGAAGGAAAUGUCAGUUGAUCAAUGUUGUAAAUAUAUUAGGGGUUGGCAGGACUGUGGUUUUGCAUCUCAUCUGUAUGAUAGCACCACACGGCAGUGUGCUUGUGGCUACACAGAGCUCCCUAAUGCCAUGCAGGUUGGGUUGAGUGUUAAAAUCCCACAGAGCUUUUGCAAGCGUUAGCAGCAUUAAUGUUGCUCUCCUGGUCAAAUUCCAACUUUAGUUGUACUCUGUGUCUCUGCCAUUUCAUUUGGGUAUGAGAUUCUUCUGCAUUUUCUUGUUCUACACUCCAAUUUUGCAAUAUGCAGUUAAACAGCUGCCACAUACCAGUCCAGAGGUGGGUGAAUUUCAGUGAUGGGCAAAUAGUUCUUAAUCUGUAACCUUUAUAUCAAUUUGUAAGGUACUUUGGUAGCCCUAAUGGUUGAAUGGUGCUUUAAAGAAAUCCUGCUAUUAAAUAAUUUAAACAUCUGAA